AGUGAACGCUGGCGGUAGGCCUAACACAUGCGAGUCGAACGGCAACACAGUAAGAGCUUGCUCUUACGGGUGGCGAGUGGCGGACGGGUGAGGAAUACAUCGGAAUCUACUUUUUCGUGGGGGAUAACGUAGGGAAACUUACGCUAAUACCGCAUACGACCUACGGGUGAAAGCAGGGGAUCUUCGGACCUUGCGCGAUUGAAUGAGCCGAUGUCGGAUUAGCUAGUUGGCGGGGUAAAGGCCCACCAAGGCGACGAUCCGUAGCUGGUCUGAGAGGAUGAUCAGCCACACUGGAACUGAGACACGGUCCAGACUCCUACGGGAGGCAGCAGUGGGGAAUAUUGGACAAUGGGCGCAAGCCUGAUCCAGCCAUACCGCGUGGGUGAAGAAGGCCUUCGGGUUGUAAAGCCCUUUUGUUGGGAAAGAAAAGCAGCAGGUUAAUACCCCGCUGUUCUGACGGUACCCAAAGAAUAAGCACCGGCUAACUUCGU
rnacentral:rRNA from 1 species